CCUACGGGUGACAGCAGUGGGGGAUAUUGCACAAUGGGGGAAACCCUGAUGCAGCGACGCCGCGUGGGUGAAGAAGUAUUUCGGUAUGUAAAGCCCUAUCAGCAGGGAAGAAAGAAGACGGUACCUGACUAAGAAGCCCCGGCUAACUACGUGCCAGCAGCCGCGGUAAUACGUAGGGGGCGAGCGUUAUCCGGAUUCACUGGGUGUAAAGGGAGCGUAGACGGCCGUGCAAGCCAGGAGUGAAAGCCCGGGGCCCAACCCCGGGACUGCUCUUGGAACUGUGCGGCUGGAGUGCGGGAGGGGCAGGCGGAAUUCCUGAUGUAGCGGUGAAAUGCGUAGAUAUCAGGAGGAACACCGGCGGCGAAGGCGGCCUGCUGGACCGCGACUGACGUUGAGGCUCGAAAGCGUGGGGAGCGAACAGGAUUAGAUACCCCUGUAGUC
rnacentral:rRNA from 1 species